GUCACUACAGACAGUCAGUAGUUGGUCUAGCGUGACGAGGAAUUCUCAGAUCACCUCUUGGCUGUGAGUGGUGGAGAGAG
rnacentral:pre_miRNA from 1 species